GACGAACGCUGGCGGCGUGCUUAACACAUGCAAGUCGAACGGAAAGGCCCUGCUUUCGUGGGGUGCUCGAGUGGCGAACGGGUGAGUAACACGUGAGUAACCUGCCCUUGACUUUGGGAUAACUUCAGGAAACUGGGGCUAAUACCGGAUAGGAGCUCCUGCUGCAUGGUGGGGGUUGGAAAGUUUCGGCGGUUGGGGAUGGACUCGCGGCUUAUCAGCUUGUUGGUGGGGUAGUGGCUUACCAAGGCUUUGACGGGUCGCCGGCCUGAGAGGGUGACCGGCCACAUUGGGACUGAGAUACGGCCCAGACUCCAACGGGAGGCAGCAGUGGGGAAUAUUGCACAAUGGGCGGAAGCCUGAUGCAGCAACGCCGCGUGCGGGAUGACGGCCUUCGGGUUGUAAACCGCUUUCGCCUGUGACGAAGCGUGAGUGACGGUAAUGGGUAAAGAAGCACCGGCUAACUACGUG
rnacentral:rRNA from 1 species